GGCUGCGGGAAACUGCAGGUAACACCGGAUACGCACGAGAGUGGAAAGUUUACGCCCUGGGAUGGGCCCGCGUCGGAUUAGGUAGUUGGUGGGGUAACGGCCUACCAAGCCUGCGAUCCGUAACCGGUCUGAGAGGAUGAUCGGUCACACUGGGACUGAGACACGGCCCAGACUCCUACGGGAGGCAGCAGUGGGGAAUCUUGGACAAUGGGGGCAACCCUGAUCCAGCGACGCCGCGUGGGUGAUGAAGGCCUUCGGGUCGUAAAGCCCUUUUGCCGGGGAAGAUGAUGACGGUACCCGGAGAAGAAGCACCGGCUAACUCUGUGCCAGCAGCCGCGGUAAGACAGAGGGUGCUAGCGUUGUUCGGAAUUACUGGGCGUAAAGGGCGCGUAGGCGGCUCGUUUAGUCGGGUGUGAAAUCCCGGGGCUCAACCCCGGAACUGCAUUCGAUACUGGCGGGCUAGAGACCGAGAGAGGUGGGUGGAAUACCCAGUGUAGAGGUGAAAUUCGUAGAUAUUGGGUGGAACACCGGUGGCGAAGGCGGCUCACUGGCUCGGUUCUGACGCUGAGGCGCGAAAGCGUGGGGAGCAAAUGGGAUUAG
rnacentral:rRNA from 1 species